rnacentral:lncRNA from 1 species
AUGGUUUGCUUGUUCAUAUUACAGAAGUCUUUAUGACUUGAUGCAAAUACAAAUAAAUAAAACAUAAAACCUAAUCUACCCUUCUUCUUUACGUUCAUGAUCUUCUUAUCAUUCUUCUUUAACUGCAAAUAAAGUUUUAUUCGCAAGAAUGAGCACAAUGGCUCAAUAACAAAUAACACAUACACAAUGCUUUCAUAUAAACUUUAACAUGCUUGACUUAACAAAACUUUCAGUUAACGAUCAUGUUAACUCAUGCUUAAUGAUAGAAUAUAAUCAUAUAUGGCAUAACCUAUCAUUAAACACUUAACAUUUAAUCAUCAUAUCCUACUUAAAAUCACAUAAGGCUUUCAUACAUAUACUUUCACACAUCAACUAUCACAUAUGAACAAACUUAGAAAUGAUUGCACAUACUUUUAAAAUAGAAGACUUGCCUUUUCGCCUUUAUCGUUUACGCUAAUUUUGCGUCUCUUGAUCAACCUAUAGUUUGACAUACAAAUUAGUCACCACAUGACUCUUACUCUAGUUCACCUUAACUAGCCUUUAAACAUGAACUUAACUUGGUAUUUUUAACUUUUACAAUAAUUGAUUUCAAAACUUGUUUAAUUCAUAACUAAUUCAUAUCAACUUGGAAUUGGCUCAUAUUUGGACAGUGACCUAUGUAUAACAUGGUCUAACUACCCCCAUAAGUGGCACGAACCCCAAAAUUCUCGUGCUCAAAAAGUUCCGGAGUGCCCUCCUUUUACUGUUCACUAGCAGAAUAUUUUCAGCAGUACUUUGGCUCACUAUUUAAUUCAUAUUAAUGAAUUUUUGAGUGAUACUUUCAACCAUGUCUUUGUAGCUUCUCCCUCUACAACUUUGCUUUGUAUUUCAUAACCAAAUUCCAAACAUAUGAUUUUAUAUAACUUUUACAAUAACAGUUCAGAUUAGGGGUUUCUCAUUUCAUACUUUCAAUCUCUCUAACUAGUUACCACUUGAGUUAAUUAGCUAGUUUUCAUCUUUUAUGACUUAAUAACAUUGUAUUACAUAAGCAUAAACCUAAACAUGUAUGAUUUCAUGAAUUCUACUUGAGAACAUAAGAACAUAAGAACAUAAACUAAAUUUAUAACAACAUACCUCUCGAAGUGCUAGCUUUUCGAUACUUGAAAACGCAAGACUUUAGCUUUCCUUCCUUCUCUCAAUUACCAAUAUAACUCUCUCUUAUGAUUACUUUAGCCUCUUUUGCUCUUGAAUUAC